CAAUAGCGUAUAUUAAAGUUGUUGCAGUUAAAAAGUUCGUAGUUGAAUUUCGGGUCCCCGCGCUCGGCGCUUCAUUGUGCCGUCGUGGUGUCCCUCCUCGCCGUAAGGCGUCCUUUACUGUGAAAAAAUUAGAGUGUUCAAAGCAGGCAAUCGCUUGAAUACAUUAGCAUGGAAUAAUAAGAUAGGAUCUUGUCUAUUUUGUUGGUUGCGGACAACGAUAAUGAUUAAUAGGGAUAGUUGGGGGUGUCCGUAUUGAGCUGUCAGAGGUGAAAUUCUUGGAUUUGCUCAAGACGAACUACUGCGAAAGCAUUCACCAAGGAUGUUUUCAUUAA
rnacentral:rRNA from 1 species